AGCCCCUGGCACUGGGCAGAGACAUCUCAUGCAUGUUGGUGUUCUUAUGUCAGCCAGGGGCAGAACAGAUGGCAGUCCUUUGUUCAUCCGAGCUUGACACCUGGCUUGGUGGCAAAAGCUCUUUUAUGCCUAGGACACAUAA